rnacentral:rRNA from 1 species
GAUCAUGGCUCAGGAUGAACGCUAGCUACAGGCUUAACACAUGCAAGUCGAGGGGAAACGACAUCGAAAGCUUGCUUUUGAUGGGCGUCGACCGGCGCACGGGUGAGUAACGCGUAUCCAACCUGCCCACCACUUGGGGGAUAACCUUGCGAAAGUAAGACUAAUACCCAAUGAUAUCUCUAGAAGGCAUCCGAAUGGGAUUAAAGAUUUAUCGGUGAUGGAUGGGGAUGCGUCUGAUUAG